AUUGAACGCUGGCGGCAGGCCUAACACAUGCAAGUCGAGCGAGCGGCGGACGGGUGAGUAAUGUCUGGGAAACUGCCUGUUGGAGGGGGAUAACUACUGGAAACGGUAGCUAAUAACGCAUACCAUGAGAUGUGCCCAGAGGGGGUUAGCUAGUAGGUGGGGUAACGGCUCACCUAGGCGACGAUCCCUAGCGGGUCUGAGAGGAUGACCAGCAAAACUGGAACUGAGACACGGUCCAGACGCCUACGGGAGGCAGCAGUGGGGAAUAUGGGACAAGGGGCGAAAGCCUGAUGGAGCCAUGCCGCGUGUGUGAAGAGGGCCUUCGGGUGGUAAAGCACUUUCGGCGGGGAGGCGGUACCCGCAGAAGAAGCACCGGCUAACUCCGUGCCAGCAGCCGCGGUAAUUC
rnacentral:rRNA from 1 species